GCAUAUCAAUAAGCGGAGGAAAAGAAACUAACAAGGCAUUCCCCUAGUAAUGGCGAAUGAAGAGGGAAAAGCUCAAAUUUUAAAUCUACCUGGUUCCCAGGUCGAGUUGUAAUUUGAAGAAGCGAUAUCGGUGUGGAGGUCUGGUUCAAGUUCUUUGGAACAAGACAUCAUGGAGGGUGAGAAUCCCGUGCAUGAUCAGACCAAGAUACUUAAUAUUCGCUUUCUAAGAGUCGAGUUGUUUGGGAAUGCAGCUCAAAUUGGGUGGUAGACUUCACCUAAGGCUAAAUAUCAGCGAGAGACCGAUAGCGAACAAGUACUGUGAAGGAAAGAUGAAAAGAACUUUGAAAAGAGAGUUAAAUAGUACGUGAAAUUGUUGAAAGGGAAACGAUUGAAGUCAGUCAUGCCAGUGAAAAUUCAGUUUGGUGGGUUUUGGGUUCAGGAGUUGAGGCAGGGUCAAACCGUUUCUCUUUUGAUCUUGGAAUUUGUCAGAUGCACUUUUUCUUUGGCAGGUCAGCGUCGAUUUCGGAGGUUGUAAAAUACUUGGGGAAAAGUAGCUCUGCUUCGGGAGAGUGUUUAUAGACCUUGGGUGAUGCGGCCUGCGGGAUCGAGGAUUGCAGCAAAUGCUUUUGGCUUGUCGCCUGAUCUCUGGACGUCAUCUCGCUUGUAUCAACAUUCUUGGUACCGGUGAGUAAUGGUGCUCAUAGGUUAGAGCGAUCAAAAAUUUGCUAAGGAUGCUGACGUAAUGGCUUUAAACGAC
rnacentral:rRNA from 1 species